rnacentral:rRNA from 1 species
CCUACGGGAGGCAGCAGUGGGGAAUAUUGGACAAUGGGGGCAACCCUGAUCCAGCCAUGCCGCGUGUGUGAAGAAGGCCUUCGGGUUGUAAAGCACUUUAAGCGGGGAGGAAGGGCUUUGGGUUAAUAACCUGGAGCAUUGACGUUACCCGCAGAAUAAGCACCGGCUAACUCUGUGCCAGCAGCCGCGGUAAUACAGAGGGUGCAAGCGUUAAUCGGAAUUACUGGGCGUAAAGCGCGCGUAGGCGGUUGUGCAAGUUGGAGGUGAAAUCCCCGGGCUUAACCUGGGCACUGCCUUCAAAACUGCACGGCUAGAGUAUGGGAGAGGAAGGUAGAAUUCCAGGUGUAGCGGUGAAAUGCGUAGAGAUCUGGAGGAAUACCGAUGGCGAAGGCAGCCUUCUGGCCUAAUACUGACGCUGAGGUGCGAAAGCAUGGGGAGCAAACAGGAUUAGAUACCCUGGUAGUCCACGCCGUAAACGAUGUCAACUAGUUGUUGGGAGACUUGAUCUCUUAGUGACGCNGCGACGACGAUAAGUUAGUACCGCCGUCGGGAGGUAACGGUCGGUCGAGAACGUAAACCGUUAACGUUAAAGUAAGAAGUUAGACGGCGUUGAGACGNGCGACGGACGACGACGAGGGAGGAGG